rnacentral:rRNA from 1 species
UACACACCGCCCGUCACACCAUGGGAGUGAGUUUUACCAGAAGUGGCUGGUCUAACCGUAAGGAGGAUGGUCACCACGGUAGGAUUCAUGACUGGGGUG